UGUGUGUGUGAGGUGUGAGUGAGGGGAGGAGGAUGGAACAGGACGCCCCCGCGCCCCCGCCCGCCCCUCGGCCCCGCCGCCCCCGCUGCUGAGCCGCCCCCGCGCCGCCCGCCCCGCCCGCCGCGGCGGAGGGCGCCGGGCACGGCUGCGGGCGGUGGGGGGGGGGGGUGGGGGGUGGGUCUCAGGUAAGGGGCGGCCGCGCUCGCCCGGGCUGUGUCGGUGUGUGUGGGAGGCCUGGGGAGGGAGUGCGAGCCCCUGGCGGGGGAAGCCGAGGUCGCCUGGGCGUGUGGGAGGGGAUAUGAGGGUCUCAUCCGCGAGCUGGAGAGCGAGCGCUGGGUACAAGGGGUUUGUGAAAGGACUCCUGGGAAGUUCAACCUUUCCCGUCCCUCCCCUUUUUUUCCUUUUUUUUUUUUUUUUUUUUCUUUAAGUAAAAAAAAAAUGUUUGUUUACGUGUGUUCGAAGACGCCCUCGUGCUGCCUGGUGGGGUGCUCACCUGUUUUUCUGUCCCGGAAGAAUGUUUUUUUGCAAUAAUUGUCAAGUUCUGUGUGGGGAUUGGUGUUUUCGUUGAAGAGAUAAUCGAUUAAAACUGCUGGAGAAGAUGGAUGCACGGUGCUCAUAUUGUAGUAGGUGGACAGGCUGUGUUGGGAAUGCUUGAGGACGGCUUUCGAGCUACUGCUCUGCUGCUGAACAGCAUGCAGUCCUUUCGGGAGCAAAGUAGUUAUCACGGAAACCAGCAGAGCUACCCGCAGGAAGUGCACACUUCAUCCCGACUGGAAGAGUUCAGCCCCCGCCAGCAGGCCCAGAUGUUCCAGAGCUUUGGAGGAGGUGCUGGCAGUGGACGUCGUGGAGCAGCAGGAGCCUCUACAGCAAUGCCUGGUGAGAGCUCUGGCCAUCAGAGCUACCAAGGUUUCAGAAAAGAAGCAGGAGAGUUUUACUAUAUGGCUGCCAACAAAGAUCCAGUGGUGUCAGGAGGGCAGCAGCCACCUCAGCGCAGGCCUUCUGGACCGGUACAGAGCUAUGGGCCCCCUCAAGGGAGUAGCUUUGGGAGUCAGUAUGGGAGUGAGGGACAUGUGGGCCAGUUCCAAACACAGCACUCGACCCUUGGGGGUGUAUCCCACUAUCAACAGGAUUAUACUGGUCCUUUUUCUCCAGGGAGUGCCCAGUAUCAGCAGCAGGCUUCUAGCCAGCAGCAGCAGGUGCAGCAGCUGAGACAGCAGAUCUAUCAAUCUCAUCAGCCUUUACCCCAGGCUUCCAGCCAGUCUGCUUCUAGCACCUCACACUUGCAGCCAAUGCAGCGUCCAUCCACACUGCCUUCCUCUGCUUCAGGCUACCAGUUACGAGUGGGUCAGUUCAGCCAACACUAUCAGCCACCUUCGUCAUCCUCCUCCUCCUCUUUCCCUUCCCCACAGCGUUUUGGCCAGUCAGGACAGAAUUAUGACGGGAGCUACAAUGUGAAUUCUGGAUCGCAGUACGAAGGCCAUGCUGUGGGUUCCAAUGCGCAGGGCUAUGGGACCCAGUCCAACUACAGCUUUCAAACUCAACCGAUGAAAAGCUUUGAACAGUCUAAGCUGCCCCAAAGUGGGCAGCAGGGGCAGCAGCAACAGCACCCACCUCAGCACGUAAUGCAGUAUUCAAAUGCUGCCACCAAACUCUCUCUUCAAAGUCAAGUGGGACAGUACAGCCAGACUGAAGUUCCUGUAAGGUCACCGAUGCAGUUCCACCAAAACUUCAGCCCAAUCUCUAAUCCGUCUCCUGCUGCAUCUGUGGUUCAGUCUCCAAGCUGCAGCUCUACCCCUUCUCCACUCAUGCCAGGUGGAGAAAAUCUCCAGUGUGGGCAAGGCAACAUGUCCAUGGGUUCUAGAAACCGAAUCCUGCAGAUGAUGCCUCAGCUUAGUCCUACACCAUCUAUGAUGCCAAGCCCCAAUGCUCAUGCAAGUGGAUUCAAGGGUUUUGGACUGGAAGGACUGCAGGAAAAAAGGCUCACAGACCCAGGACUGAGCAGCCUGAGUGCUCUAAGUUCUCAAGUUGCCAAUCUGCCCAACACAGUCCAGCACAUGUUGCUCUCAGAUGCCUUGGCACCUCAGAAAAAAAGUUCUAAAAGAUCAUCCUCUUCCAAGAAGGCCGACAGCUGCACCAACUCAGAAGGCUCCUCCCAGACAGAGGAGCAACUCAAGUCUCCCAUGGCAGAGUCCCUGGAUGGUGGCUGUUCCAGUAGUUCAGAGGAUCAUGGGGAGAGGGUGAGACAGCUGAGUGGCCAGAGCACCAGCUCAGACACCACUUACAAAGGGGGCAAUUUAGAGAGACCCAACUCCUCACCAGCACAAGGGUCUCAGAAUGAGCCAUCAAAACUCAGCAGCAGUCCUGCAGCUAGGGAAGAUGUGACCUCCCCUGAUGGGAAGGAGGCUGUGGUGGCUGUGGAAAAUGCCCCAAAAGUGAAUGAAAAGGCAGUUGGGGUGAUUGUCUCCCGGGAAGCCAUGACAGGAAGAGUAGAAAAGUCAGGUGGACAAGAUAAACCUGCACAAGAUGAUGCUUCCACAGCCCCUCAGGCACCAGGUAGCACUAGUGCAGCAAAAGAAGCUGGGCAUACAGGGACACAGCAAGAAACUCAAGGAGGAGGUAAAGGGAGCAAAAGUGGUGAUAACACUAACCAUAAUGGGGAGGGGAAUAGCCAGUCUGGUCAUGCAGUUGUUGGGCCAAAUUUUCCUGCAAGAACAGAAUCUUCCAAGUCUCCUGGCAGUUUAAGAUACAGCUACAAGGAUAAUAUAGCACCUGGUAUACAAAGAAGUAUUGGUGGCUUUCCACAGUAUCCAUCUGGUCAAGAAAAGGGGGAUUUUCCAGGGCAUGGUGAGCGCAAAGGCCGUAAUGAGAAGUUUCCUAGCCUCCUACAAGAGGUUUUACAGGGGUACCACCAUCAUCCAGACAGAAGGUAUUCUAGGAAUGCUCAGGAGCAUUCUGGGAUGGCUGGGAGUUUGGAGGGAGCCAUGAGGCCCAAUGUUUUAAUUAGUCAAACCAACGAAUUGACCAAUAGAGGUCUCUUAAACAAAAGCAUGGGGUCCCUCCUGGAAGGCCCUCACUGGGGUCCCUGGGAUAGGAAGUCUAGCAGUGCAGCUCCAGACAUGAAGCAGAUAAAUUUAGCUGAUUACCCUAUUGCUAGAAAGUUUGAUAUGGAGUCUCAGGCUGCUGCCCAUGAGGCAGGAGCACUCUCAGAGAGGAGAUCAGUGAUCUGUGACAUAUCUCCAUUAAGGCAACUUGUAAGAGAUCCUGGCUCUCACCCCAUGGGGCACAUGGGUCCUGAGGCCAGAAGUGGAAGGAGUGAACGUCUUGCUCCCGGCUUGAGCCAGUCAGUAAUACUCCCUGGUGGUUUAGUAUCCAUGGAAACGAAGAUGAAAGCUCACAGUGGGCAAAUAAAGGAAGAAGAUUUUGAGCAGUCAAAGAGCUCAGCUAGUCUCAAUAAUAAAAAAACAGGAGACCAUUGUCAUCCUGCUGGCAUCAAACAUGAAUCUUUUCGAGGCAAUGCCAGCCCUGGAGCUGCAGUCUCUGAUGCUGCUCCAGACUACAUGCCCCAGCAGGACAGCAGAUCGACACAGAUGAGACGAGGACCUGGCAGAACUGGAAGGGGUAAAUCACCCUCUCAAUAUCAGGAUCUUGCUGAUAAGCUGAAAAUGUCACCAGGCAGAAGCAGAGGCCCAGGGGCAGAUCUGCAUCACAUGAACCCACACAUGACACUGUCUGAAAGAGUUAGCAGGAGUUCUUUGCAUUCUGUCUACCCUCAGAAUUCAGAAGGCCCAUCUCUGGCUUCAGCAUAUCACACAAAUGCUAGGCCUCAUGCUUUUGGUGACCCCAGCCAGAGCCUGAAUUCCCAGUAUCAUUACAAGAGACAGAUAUACCAGCAACAGCAAGAAGAGUACAAAGAUUGGGCAAGCAGCGCUGCUCAGGGUGUGAUUGCUGCAGCUCAGCACAGGCAGGAAGGAGCAAGGAAGAGCCCAAGACAACAGCAGUUUCUGGAAAGAGUAAGGAGUCCCUUAAAAAAUGACAAGGAUGGAAUGAUGUACCUUCAAGGUAGCUCUUACCAUGAUACUGGAAGUCAGGAAGCUGGGCGCUGUGUCAUGGGGAGUGACAGUACUCAGAGCAAAUGCACUGAACUGAAACAUGGCAACCAGAAGUUGCAGCAUCAUGAAUCUGGUUGGGACCUCUCUCGGCAAACUUCUCCUGCCAAAAGCAGCGGCCCUCUUGGAGCAGCCAACCAAAAAAGAUUUUGCCCUCAAGAAAGCGAUGGGCAUCGACGAGAGGAAUCUACAGAUUUGCCCAAGCCUAGCAAUGCUAUGCUUAGGCUCCCUGGCCAGGAAGACCAGUCCCCUCAAAACCCAUUGAUCAUGAGGAGGAGGGUCCGUUCUUUCAUCUCUCCUAUCCCUACCAAAAGACAGCCACAUGAUAUGAAGAACAGUGGUGGUGAAGAUAAAGGGCGACUGAUGACUUCAGCAAAAGAAGGAGCCGAUAAAACAUACAACUCCUAUGCCCAUUCUUCUCAAAGCCAAGAUGCUGGCAAGUCAAUUGCAAAGGGAGAUUCCUUCAAGGACCUGCCAAGUCCUGAUAAUAGGAAUUGUCCUGCUGUUUCCCUCACGAGCCCGGCGAAGACCAAAAUACUGCCCCCAAGAAAGGGGCGAGGAUUAAAACUGGAAGCUAUUGUUCAAAAAAUUACAUCUCCCAAUAUCAGGAGGAGUGUUUCUACCAACAGUGCUGAAACUGGUCCAGAUACUGUCACUCUUGAUGACAUCCUGUCCCUCAAGAGUGGACCUGAAGGAGGAAAUGUGGCUGGACACGGACCAGAGGCUGAGAAGAGAAAAGGAGAGAUGUCAGAUCAAGUGGGGCCAGCAAGCCAGGAUACAACUGAAAAAGGUGAAAAAACUGUUCCAAGAUCUUCAGAAGAAUGGCAAAGCAGCGAGGAUGAUAAAAACAAAAAAGAGGUCCCUGAAACUGCCAGUAUUGGCAAAGAAGGAGCAGGACCCAGUGCAGCACCACCACCUUCUCAGAAGUCAGGUGGUCAGGGAAGGUCCGAUGGAUCUGUAAGUGGAGCUGGAACUCUGACCUUUUCUGACUCAAAAACUAUUUCCCCUUCCAGCGUGUUCAUUUCUGAACCAAAUCCAAAGUCUGAGGAAAAAGAUGGAGAUGUGACAAACAUUUCACCCAAGCCAGACGGUUUCCCUCCGAAGGGAUAUUUCCCCUCUGGAAAGAAAAAAGGGAGGCCAAUUGGGAGUGUGAACAAGCAGAAGAAGCAGCAGCAACAGCAGCAGCUGCCUGUACCCCCACCUCCCCCACCAGCACCAUCACAGCCUGCAGAAGGGGUGGGUGCUGGUGAGCCAAAGCCCAAGAGGCAAAGGAGGGAGAGGCGAAAACCUGCAGCGCAGCCACGGAAGCGGAAGCCUAGACGGGCUGCUCCCAUCGUGGAGCCUCAAGAACCAGAGAUCAAGCUUAAGUAUGCUACUCAGUCUGUAGAUAAAACUGACUCCAAGAAUAAGUCCUUUUUCCCUUAUAUUCAUGUGGUAAACAAGUGUGAAUUAGGCGCUGUGUGCACAAUCAUAAAUGCGGAGGAAGAGGAGCAGAACAAACUGGUGAGGGGUCGGAAAGGACAGAGGUCUUCAACACCCCCUCCUAGCAAUGCGGAGAGCAAAGCGCUGCCCACCUCAACUUUCAUGCUGCAAGGCCCUGUAGUAACGGAGUCUUCUGUCUUGGGGCAUCUGGUUUGCUGCCUGUGUGGCAAAUGGGCCAGCUACCGUAACAUGGGUGACCUCUUUGGUCCUUUCUACCCCCAGGAUUAUGCAGCUACCUUGCCCAAGAAUCCACCUCCAAAGAGGGCCACAGAAAUGCAGAGCAAGGUCAAGGUACGGCACAAAAGUGCUUCUAAUGGUUCCAAGACAGAUACUGAAGAGGAGGAGGAACAGCAACAACAGAAAGAACAAAGAAGCCUGGCUGCUCAUCCCCGCUUUAAGAGGCGGCACCGCUCUGAGGACUGUAGCGGUGCCUCUCGGUCACUUUCAAGGGGAGCUUCUUGUAAAAAAGCAACCACUGAUGGUGGCAGUGGUGGUGAAAAGACUCCUUUGGACUCAAAACCGUCUAUGCCCACUUCAGAAAGUGGCACUGAGCUGGAGUUACAAAUUCCUGAACUACCUCUUGACAGCAAUGAAUUUUGGGUCCAUGAGGGUUGUAUUCUCUGGGCCAAUGGGAUCUACCUGGUCUGUGGCAGGCUCUAUGGGCUGCAGGAAGCUGUGGAGAUUGCAAGAGAGAUGAAAUGUUCCCAUUGCCAGGAACCAGGAGCCACCUUAGGCUGCUACAACAAAGGCUGCUCCUUCCGAUACCAUUACCCAUGUGCCGUCGAUGCAGAUUGUUUACUAAACGAAGAGAAUUUCUCAGUGAGGUGCCCCAAGCACAAGCCCCUCCUUCCUUGCUCUCUUCCCUCCUUGCAGAACAAGAUGGUGAAAGGCAGCCUCAGCACAGAGCAGUCGGAGCGGGGGUGAGGGGGGAAGUGUACUCCUGGGAAUGGAUAUAAAAGCAAGCACAGUAAAGUCAUGAAGUGCUUCCAAUGGUGUUUUGGUGAAGGGUGAGAGAUUAAUUGGAAGAUUGUGGGGUUUUGGUGCAGUAGCAGAAGACAGGUUAGGCUGUUGAGAUAAA